rnacentral:rRNA from 1 species
CGAACGUAGGGGGCAAGCGUUGGUCCGGAAUCAUUUGGGCGUAAAGAGGCUCGAUAGGCGGCUCAGUUAAGUCGGGUGUGAAACCCCCCAGGCUCAACCUGGGGAACGGCCACCCCGAUAACUGGCUGUGGCUAGAGUCCAAGUAGGGGGAGUGUGGAAGUUCCCGGUGGUAGCGGGUGAAAUGCGCAGAUAUCAGGAAGAACACCUAUGGCGAAGGCAGCUCUCCUGGGGACGGUACUGACGCUGAGACGCGAAACGUGGGGGAGCGAACAGG